rnacentral:rRNA from 1 species
AGUGAACGCUGGCGGUAGGCCUAACACAUGCAAGUCGAACGGCAGCACAGGAGAGCUUGCUCUCUGGGUGGCGAGUGGCGGACGGGUGAGGAAUACAUCGGAAUCUACUUUUUCGUGGGGGAUAACGUAGGGAAACUUACGCUAAUACCGCAUACGACCUACGGGUGAAAGCAGGGGACCUUCGGGCCUUGCGCGAUUGAAUGAGCCGAUGUCGGAUUAGCUAGUUGGCGGGGUAAAGGCCCACCAAGGCGACGAUCCGGAGCUGGUCUGAGGGGAUGAUCAGCCACACUGGAACGGAGACACGGGCCAGACUCCUACGGGAGGCAGCAGUGGGGAAUAUUGGACAAGGGGCGCAAGCCUGAUCCAGCCAUACCGCGUGGGUGAAGAAGGCCUUCGGGUUGUAAAGCCCUUUUGUUGGGAAAGAAAUCCAGCUGGCUAAUACCCGGUUGGGAUGACGGUACCCAAAGAAUAAGCACCGGCUAACUUCGUGCCAGCAGCCGCCGUAA